UGGGGGAGAUAUCGCCCAAGGACUGCUAUUCCUCCCUGUCUGCCGGGCACUCCCAACCCCUGAGGGACCUGGAUGGGCUGUGGCACAGAUCGUCCCCCACAAUCUCCCAGCAGCCCACCUUGCCGGACCUCCUCUCCAAGACCUCAGAGAAGCUCUCUCUCUUGGCCCAACUGGAGAGGGCCCAGAGCCGGAUCCAAGCCCUGGAGAGCCAGCUGGAGGAUUCUGCCCGGCAAUGGGGGAGGGAGAAGCAGGACACAGCCACCCGACUGCUGGAACAAGCCCAUGGCUUCAGCCCCUGAUCCUCAGCUCCACGCGCUCACUGGACGGCGGCUCUGCUCUCCGGCCUCCCAGAAGUAAGGAGCCUAAAGGGCCUCAGCCUUUUGGGCUUCUCCUCCUAAGAAGAGGAGCAGGGUCGUUCAGGGCCCUGGGAUGGAGGGGUGGGGCACUGAACCAGGCAUCAGGAGAACCUGCUUCUGAUCUGGGCCCUGCCACUACCCCUGCUCUGUGUCCUUGGCCCUUUGGGGGCUUGCUUCUGGUUUCCCAUCUGUAAUAUGGGGAUGAAAAUCCUUGCCCUUCCCUGCAUUUCCCUAUCUCUCAGGGGUGCAGUGAGCAAACAAAGAUCAGCUGAUUUUGAAAGCCCUGUUUUUAAGGCAUCGGUGAUAGUAAUCCCUGCCUUAAGUACUUGGGAAAGCCCAGAGGAAGUAGGGUUAUGACACUGGUUAUUGAACCUGUGUGAAUGUCUCUGUCCUCCUCACUGCUCUCGUCACUGGGCAAAACCCAGCACUGCCUGGCUCUUCCCUCUUCCCAGAUUCCCACCAAGCCACUUCCUAGGGGGGAAGUGGUAUCUACUGAGCCCUGGGUGUGGAUGAGUGACUGACUGACUGCCUGACCGGCUGGCUGACACCGACCCCGGCUCACCCCCAUCUGGCCAUGGAAAGAGGACUCCCCCUCCCCAACCCCACCUCGAGCCAGGAGGCACUGGGGGCAAUUGAGAAGCCCUCAAAGGUGGCAGACCAAGAGAUGGAGGAGUUUUGGCAAUAUGUUUCCUCCCUUCCUCCAUUCCUGCCCAAAGUCACCCCUCUGCCUCUCCCCUCCCCCCCACCAACC